rnacentral:rRNA from 1 species
CUACAGAACUAACCAGGAUUUCCUAGUAACGGCGAGUGAACGGAAAUUAGCCCAGCACCGAAGCCUAUCUGCAUUUGUGGACAGGGCAAUGUGGUGUUUAGACUUGAACCUGGGGACACUUAUCUACUCGAAGUCCAACUCCGAAUAUGGCUUGGAUUUGUUCCAUAGAGGGUGAAAGACCCGUACGGGUAGAUUAUAUGUUUUGAAGUGUUCCUUAGAUGUUCUUGUCUUGGAGUCGGAUUGCUUGAGAAUGCAGUCCAAAGUGGGUGGUAAACUCCAUCCAAGGCUAAAUACCUGCACGAAUCCGAUAGUAGACAAGUACCGCGAGGGAAAGUUGAAAAGUAUUCC